rnacentral:sRNA from 1 species
GCCUGGCUGGGUGAUGCAUGCCUGUAAUCCUAGUGGCUUGGGAGGCUGAGGCAGGAGGAUUGUGAGUUCAAAGCCAGACUCAGCAACUUAGUGAGGCCCUCAGCAACUUAACAAGACCCUGUCUCUA